rnacentral:tRNA from 1 species
ACCUGGGUGGCUCAGUCGGUUGAGCGUCUGACUUCGGUUCAGGUCAUGAUCUCGCAGUUCGUGGGUUCGAGCCCCGUGUCGGGCU